GAAUUUAUCCAAGUUCUGUCGUUUCUUAUUUGACGGACGCUUGUGCACGGUAGACGGACUGUAAAUCGAUUAAAAUAUUUGUCAUCUUCAAACAUUAAACACUUUUAAUAGUAACGUUCUCUUGAUUUUAGUUGCUUAGAAAUGAGAGCUAAGUGGCGAAAGAAGCGUAUGCGUAGGCUAAAGCGUAAAAGGAGGAAGAUGCGUGCGAGGUCCAAAUAAACGGUACACGGCGCUUUAAUUACUUGUAGUAAUAUGCAGUUGUGUAUCAAAUAAAAAAAUCAGAAAAUCA